rnacentral:rRNA from 1 species
AUUGAACGCUGGCGGCAGGCCUAACACAUGCAGGUCGAACGGUAACAGGAAACAGCUUGCUGUUUCGCUGACGAGUGGCGGACGGGUGAGUAAUGUCUGGGAAACUGCCUGAUGGAGGGGGAUAACUACUGGAAACGGUAGCUAAUACCGCAUAACGUCGCAAGACCAAAGAGGGGGACCUUCGGGCCUCUUGCCAUCGGAUGUGCCCAGAUGGGAUUAGCUAGUAGGUGGGGUAACGGCUCACCUAGGCGACGAUCCCUAGCUGGUCUGAGAGGAUGACCAGCAACACUGGAACUGAGACACGGUCCAGACUCCUACGGGAGGCAGCAGUGGGGAAUAUUGCACAAUGGGCGCAAGCCUGAUGCAGCCAUGUCGCGUGUAUGAAGAAGGCCUUCGGGUUGUAAAGUACUUUCAGCGGGGAGGAAGGGAGUAAAGUUAAUACCUUUGCUCAUUGACGUUACCCGCAGAAGAAGCACCGGCUAACUCCGUGCCAGCCGCCGCCGUAA